rnacentral:misc_RNA from 1 species
AAGACUAUAGACCUGCGGAGUACCUGCGGAAGGAUCAUUAAAAAAACUUUGCCCGCGGACCUUGGGUCCAAGGCGCAAAACCCACACUAUGUGCACUGUUAUCGUUCUUUUGGCAGGGGCUUGGGGUAUCUUCCAACUUGGGGAACCUCAACUUCUCGUCUAGCUCUAUCCACCUCGGACAGCUGGACAUGAGAAGUAGUUACUCUGCCAAGUGACCCUUAAAAACACGCUUUUUUGUCU